rnacentral:rRNA from 1 species
CCCUUAGAUGUCCGGGGCUGCACGCGCGCUACACUGAAGGAAUCAGCGUGCUAAAACCAUUGUCGAAAGGCAUUGGUAAACCCAUUAAAAUCCUACGUGAUUGGGAUCGGGAAUUGCAAUUAUUUCACUUGAACGAGGAAUUCCCAGUAAGUGUGGGUCAUAAGCUCGCGUUGAUUACGUCCCUGCCCUUUGUACACACCGCCCGUCGCUGCCCGGGACUGAGCCGUUUCGAGAAAAGCGGGGACUGCUGCUGUCGGGGCUUUCGGGCCUUGGCUUCGGUGGAAACCGCUUUAAUCGCAGUGGCUUGAACCGGGCAAAAGUCGUAACA